CAGGAAAAUAACGUGUGGCAUGUCAUUAAUUAUGCAAGACGUUAAAGAACCUGAAGUAUUCAGUGGUCGUGCUCGUUUUACGUUUAGUGUUUGCAACCAAUCUCCGGUUGUACAGUCAAACACAUCGAUGUGUGUAUCACUAUAAACUAGAACAGCGGGAUACAUAAUUUCACGAUCUCUAUUCUUUCUACCUUGGCUGUCGACGUAUACUGCCAAUGUAUGGAAGACUAAUAAGAAUUCACCACGCGGUAAUUCGAUACAACGUAAAGCAUCCACAGCGCUAUACGUGAGAAAACCUAAGAGCGUAUUCUCAGAAUGGACCAAUGCUAAAUUGCAAAGAACAAAUAAUUAGAACAAUUGUUCAUAUUUUAUAUAAAUUCUUUGUAUAUUUCUAUCAUACUAAUACUCACAAAUCGGGUGAUGGUCUCCUAAAAUGCUGUAGAUAGAAAACCCAGAAGGAUAUCCAACACAAAAACGACCUUCAGAGAGUACUUGCAGGGUUUGUGCGUGACACGGUAACAUCAAUUCACGUAUACGUUUAUGACGUGUUUUCGUACGCGUUAUUUCGUAGAUGAUCACUUGUGAUGCAUUCUACGUUACAAAUGAUGACGUUUAAAAUAAAAAUUUUAGAAAAGAAUGAAUUAGAAGGAAGACAAUAAUGGUAAUAUAAAAUGGUAAUCUAAGAAAGAUUUGUUACCUGUUUCUUUAUGGCAACGCAUAAACAAUAUGUUAAUGGAGUACGUCGUACUACUCCUGUUGUUAAAGUAAUACAUCCUUUUGUCUCUGCAACUUUAAUCCAUUCAACUUCAUCUCCAUCCAAUGCACGUACUGGGACCAGCCGUACAUGACGUUGUUUUCCACUUAAAACUACAAUUAAUUGU